UAGCAGGAAACUGUUGGAAAGGAUAUUCUGCAGAAUUAUAGAAAGAGCAUCUGUGGGACAUUAGAAACGACGCAGCACAGAAAAUGGAUGAAGACGGGUGGCUGUAGCAGUAAGAAGGCCGGUGAAGCAUAGACUGCAAAAUUGCGAAGCAAGAUGCAAAAUAAAGGAAAGUUGUAAAUCUGUGUAUUGUGUACUUUGAAAUUGUUCUUAGAACUAUAGAAUCUGUUCCAUCUGUUAUGUUUAAUAUCUGGUGUAUGGUGUUAUGACUAUUGUUCGGCUGGUUUUCUGUAUUAACAAUGUGGUUCCGAUGAAUGUUGUUCGUAUUGGAAUAAAUAUCCCUUAAUUAUAGACGUUAAUGUUUACAGCUGUUUGUGUAUUCUUUAACGGCUGGCUAUGCACAGUUAUGUCUACAAUGCCAUGUUUAUUGUUGUAACAUUGUCUAGGCCCAGUGUAUGUGACAGUGGCUAGAAUUUGAAGGUUUGUUAAUAAAGUGUUCAUAUUGGAUAUGAAGUGUAUGAACUACAUGUCCCAAAUGGCUUUAGUCCUCUUGAUGUAAAAGUUUGACACAGUAACACUUCGUGGUUAAUG